UACGAAGGGUGCAAGCGUUACUCGGAAUUACUGGGCGUAAAGGGUGCGUAGGUGGUCGUUUAAGUCCGUUGUGAAAUCCCCGGGCUCAACCUGGGAAUUGCAUUUGUGACUGCACGGCUAGAGUGUGUCAGAGGGGGGGUAGAAUUCCACGUGUAGCAGUGAAAUGCGUAGAGAUGUGGAGGAACACCGAUGGCGAAGGCAGCCCCCUGGGUCAAGAUUGACGCUCAUGCACGAAGCGUGGGGAGCAAACAGG
rnacentral:rRNA from 1 species